UCUGCAGAGUGACAACUGGGUAUGGGUCGAUGGCUCCCCCACCGUCCAUGAGGCCUGGCACAAGUACAGGAGACAUUACUCUUGGAAGGGGGAGAACUGCGCAGCCCUGGAAGAUGACUCAGGUUACAUGACCUGGGACAAGGACUCCUGCUACGACAGAAACGCCUUCGUCUGCAAGCUCACGUUGUAGUGAAGCAACUUGUCCCUGCUCAGGAUGGCUGGGAGUGGGUGUGCUGGGCCCUUCUGCUCCUCAGAGGGGCUGUAUCCACUGUCUCCAGCUCCCGUGUCCCGUCUCCCAGGGCAUCCUCAUGUGAACUCCUGAAUCCAUCACCUUCUCCUCUGCCCCUUCUCUGUGUGGUGGGGGACUCCCUCGCUCUGUUUCUCUCCUCUGUGCACACUGCGGUGAUAAUAAACUUCCCCUUGAGCAUUCAGA